CUCUGCUCAGCUCCCUCGCGCGCCGCCCGCAGAGUGAGGCUAGGAGCCGGAAUAUGACGUCAUAUUCCUGCUCCCAGCCUCACUCUGCGGGUGGCGCGCAAGGGAGCUGAGCAGAG
rnacentral:miRNA from 1 species